rnacentral:rRNA from 1 species
UACAGAGGUCCCGAGCGUUGUUCGGAUUUAUUGGGCGUAAAGGGUGCGUAGGCGGCGGAGUAAGUUGGGUGUGAAAUCCCGGGGCUUAACCUCGGAAUUGCAUUCAAUACUGCUUCGCUCGAGUACUGGAGAGGAGGCUGGAAUUUACGGUGUAGCAGUGAAAUGCGUAGAUAUCGAGAGGAACACCAGUGGCGAAGGCGAGUCCCUGGACAAAACCUGACACUGAGGCACGAAAGCUAGGGGAGCAAACAGG